AGCCUCGAUCCCAGGCCGAGUUUUCGCUUUUAUAACGGUUAGGCGAACAACUGGGCCUGGUACUAGUUGUCUGCGCAUGCGUCAGUCGUUCGUCAGAUUCUGACAAAUGGAUAUUCUUGUUCACUUUCGUGACAUUUAUAUUUGUGUACUAUCGUGUACUAGAAGUCAGUUCCCGUUUUAUCAUUAUUUGGAAUGGCUCUUAGCUGAAGCUUCUCUCUUCUCUGAAGCUUAUUCUGAAGACUGAACAACAAGGGAAGAGGUAUAAAGCUUUGUCAAGCUUGUUAAGGUCAGAUAUUUUUGUGUGGGCCCUAUGGCCGGCUAUGCUAUCAAGUCUUGUUCAUGUUUGGCAAGAAUGUAGGUAGACUAUAGUUUCAUCAUUAAUAUGGUGGAUCAAGUGAAGAGUGUGAGCUAGAGAACUUGGUGCUGCCAUCAUCAGCUCGUCGACAAUGACACUAUAACCGAGAAAUUUAAUAUGUAUAGAUCUACACGUAUUUAAAAUGUCUACUUCUCUGUACAGGAGCAAUGGCUAAUAUCCAGCUAUCUCAACAGUGCUCCUCUUGGCUAUACUAACGGACGAGACUGGACAGUUUGAGACACAGGACUGGAGUAUGACCUGCUCAUUCGAGCGUUGCUGGGUAGCUCAGAGACAUCAAGAGAAUCUACGUUUUCUCAAGCAAUGAGUUACGAGUUGGGGCCUAGAAUCAGAGAAGUCCAGCAGCCUGCUAAAUCUUUUUGAAACGUAAUUUGAAGGCAUUCAAUCAUCCUGAAGUUGCCCUGGGUCACUGUAAUUGUGCUGCAGCACAACUGGCAACUCCCCAGGCCUUUGUGAAGCAGCUCCCUAUGUGCAUCUUUUGUGUACUCACUCUGUGCAUUUUCUGUGUACAAAUUUCUAUUAUUGAUUUAUUAAAUA